AGGGUGAAAGGCCCGUGGGGGUGGAGACUCAGAUUGGCCAGUAUCUCCCUGAGUGGACCUUGGAGUCGGGUUGUUUGUGAAUGCAGCCCAAAGUGGGUGGUAAACUCCAUCCAAGGCUAAAUACUAACACGAGUCCGAUAGCGAACAAGUACCGUGAGGGAAAGUUGAAAAGUACUUUGAAGAGAGAGUAAACAGUGCGUGAAACCGCUCAGAGGUAAACGGGUGGAGUUGAACUGCAAGCUCUGAGAAUUCAACUGGUGAGUAUGGCAUGAGCUGGGUAUAUUGGUUGACGGUUCGGGUCUGCUGAGCUGCAGGUCCUCGCCUUUUGGUGGGGAUGCGCGAUGCACUUGCCAAGUGUUGUGCGCCCGGACUGUAUCGGACCUGCUUGCCAGUGCACUUUCUCAGAGUAAUCACCACGACCGGCGUUGCUGUCUGGCUGUUGUAGUUAAACCGGCCUUGUAGAGUCCUUGUGGCUUUGCUUGGUCGGGAUGGCAGGUAGCCCGUUGUGCACUUUUGUGUGCUUCGGGUGUAAUCGCUGACUGCAUCAGUUCUGUGCGGUACGUCGGAGACGGCGGCUUGUUGUGUGUGCGUGCGUACUUGUUAUGCUGGCGGUGCUGAGUCUGGUUGCCGUGUUGCUUGCAAAUGCAAGCCCGGUGAUGGCUUGGUGUCGUUCGGUGUGCGGUUGCGUGCGUGGCACUAUACAGGGCCAAUAGUCUGUGGUGUAGUGGUAGACUAUCCACCUGACCCGUCUUGAAACACGGACCAAGGAGAGUAACAUGUACGCGAGUCAUUGGGCGUUACGAAACCCAAAGGCGCAGUGAAAGUAAAGGUUCGGCUUGUCCGGACUGAGGUGAGAUCCUGCCGUUUCUCACGCGCGGUACUACCAAGCAUCGAGCGGCAGGCGCAUCACCGGCCCGUCCCAUGGCGUAGAGGCGGCCUUGUGCUUGCUCAUCGU
rnacentral:rRNA from 1 species